AAUUGGAGGAGAUGCUCAUUUUGAUGAAGAUGAGACGCUCAAACAAUGCUUCUUCUGGCGUAGCUACUCCCAGAGUGUGACACCACAGCAAAGUCUCAUAACAAACUUCUAGCCCAACGCCCCCAUCAACAUCAACGCUGCUUAUGAAAGCCGACAAUCAGACAGUGUCUUAUUCUUUAAAGAUCAGAGAGUGUGGGCUUUCAGUGGCUCUGAUCCUGUAUCUGGCUAUCCUAAAAGUCUUACCAGUUUUGGACUGCCAGGAAACGUGAGGAAAAUCGAUGCAGCGCUCUAUGAUGAGGAAUCUGGCAAGACUCUGUUCUUUGUAGGAAAUUAUUACUACAGUUAUGAUGAGGUCAAAAGGACUAUGGACCAGGGAUUCCCCAAGCAGUUGGAUCAGACCUUCCCUGGCCUGACCAGUAAGGUGACUGCAACUUUCCAGUACAGAGCUUUUGCUUACAUCUACAGUGGACCCUACAUGUUUAAGUACAGCCUGAGUACAGGGAGGUUGUAUUGUGCGCUGAGGAACAGCUACUUCUUGUGCUGCACUAACUUCUAGGCCAGUUUACUAGCUAAGUUGUUUAUGUAGCCACUCUGAAUGAAUGGACACUAACAGUGUUCAAAUAGUACAUUUACAUAUUUCUAUUAUUCUAAAUAUUAUGAGACUUUUCAGUCAUCCUGGAAAUCGGAUAUUUAGUAAAAAGUUAAAUGCCUCUGAUUAGUAUUGAAACAUUUUGAGGACAGCAAGUCCAUUACUAUAACAUUAUUAUUGAUCAUAUCAAUGUCUAGUGAGUGCACUGUUUUUGCCAUUAUUGAAUUUCAUGCUUAUAGUUAAGUAUGUGAUGCUAAAGUUCCUUCUCAUUUGUCCUCUAGUUCAGUGGUUCCCAAAUGUAGCAGUGGCGCAAUGGAUAAGACUAUGCCUCUGAUGUGAGAGAGGUGUGUGAUCUCUGACAUGUAUUAUAUAAUUAUAAGUUGAUUUGGAUAAAGGUGUCAACUAAAUGAAUAAAUAUCAUGGGUGCGUGAGCUGCCUCUAAGGGGUGCGCAACCGGAAAAAUGUAGUAGCAGUGUAACUACAACAGUUGUUUUUUGUGGAUAUUUUCAUGAAAUAAAAAAUUUAAU